GGAACUUUUUAGAAAAAAAAAUUCCUCCUAUUUUCGCUUCAAAUUUCAUCCUAAAAAAAUUAUAGUAAAAAGAUAUAAAUUAAGUUUGGAGCGUCAAAGAGAAUUAGAAUUCAGUUAUUUUGAAGAAAACAAAGUUUCGUCAUUACGUCAGUUAAAAACAAGUUAGAUUUGUCUUCAUUGCCAUCUAACAUUCAUCUUAUAGAAGGCAUGAACAACUUACUUCUUUACACUAUUCAUAAACUACCCCCUCAAAUUCAAUAUUCACUACAAAUUUUCGUCGAUCUCACCUUUAAGUUAUGCUAUCGUGGUUCCAUAGUCGCUCAUAAUAAAUUUCAGCAUAUCUGUUCUUCUAAUUAAAUUAAAACUCUUUCUCAAGCCGGAAAUUUGCUUGCUUUUGUGAAAGCACUUUCAUCUAAAGAUGUUCUACAGGCAAGAAUAUAAUACUGCAUGACGAUUCUUAACAGUCUAGGGUAUGAAGAAGAGGAGGACCAAAAGAAAGUGAAUUUUAUUUCUGAGUAACUAAAAUUAUUAACAAGUCCAAUGAAAGGAAGACGUUACUCAAUGAAGUUGCUUAGUAUGUGCAUGCUGUGGGAAACAUGUAGUCCUUCUCUUUAAGGAGCCAUUGAAAAGAGGCUUGACUUUGUUUACCUAGUGUUUCGCAUUUUAAAUACUGGGAUAUUUUCUUCGACCAAACAUAUCUCAAGACGCGUUUAAAUUCAAUUUCUCCUGAAAGUAGAAAAGUGUCUUUAAUAUUUGACGAAGGGUAUUCCUCACAAAGGAUCGAGUUUAUUGGAGGAAAAUGUUAUGUAUUUUACGUUGAUGGCACACCCACAAGAACGGUACUAUGUUUUAUGAUUAAAAGAGUAAUAUAUAGUUGCCUAUGUUUCCAAUUAUCACAA
rnacentral:lncRNA from 1 species